UACGUAGGGGGCAAGCGUUGUCCGGAUUUAUUGGGCGUAAAGAGCGUGUAGGCGGCCAUACAGGUCAGCUGUGAAACUCGAGGCUCAACCUCGAGACGUCGGUUGAAACCGUAUGGCUAGAGUCCGGAAGAGGAGAGUGGAAUUCCCGGUGUAGCGGUGAAUGCGCAGAUAUCAGGAGGAACACCGGUGGCGAAGGCGGGUCUCUGGGCCGAUACUGACGCUGGAGGAGCG
rnacentral:rRNA from 1 species